rnacentral:rRNA from 2 species
UCUUGCCCACGACGGUGAAGGAAUCUUCCACAAUGGACGAAAGUCUGAUGGAGCAAUGCCGCGUGAGUGAAGAAGGGUUUCGGCUCGUAAAACUCUGUUGUUAAAGAAGAACACCUUUGAGAGUAACUGUUCAAGGGUUGACGGUAUUUAACCAGAAAGCCACGGCUAACUACGUGCCAGCAGCCGCGGUAAUACGUAGGUGGCAAGCGUUGUCCGGAUUUAUUGGGCGUAAAGCGAGCGCAGGCGGUUUUUUAAGUCUGAUGUGAAAGCCUUCGGCUUAACCGGAGAAGUGCAUCGGAAACUGGGAGACUUGAGUGCAGAAGAGGACAGUGGAACUCCAUGUGUAGCGGUGGAAUGCGUAGAUAUAUGGAAGAACACCAGUGGCGAAGGCGGCUGUCUAGUCUGUAACUGACGCUGAGGCUCGAAAGCAUGGGUAGCGAACAGGAUUAGAUACCCUGGUAGUCCAUGCCGUAAACGAUGAGUGCUAAGUGUUGGAGGGUUUCCGCCCUUCAGUGCUGCAGCUAACGCAUUAAGCACUCCGCCUGGGGAGUACGACCGCAAGGUUGAAACUCAAAGGAAUUGACGGGGGCCCGCACAAGCGGUGGAGCAUGUGGUUUAAUUCGAAGCUACGCGAAGAACCUUACCAGGUCUUGACAUCUUCUGCCAAUCUUAGAGAUAAGACGUUCCCUUCGGGGACAGAAUGACAGGUGGUGCAUGGUGUCGUCAGCCUUCCGUUUUUUA